GAUGGAUUUGUUGGUUGGAUUGGAGACUCUGGAAAACAGCUUAGAGCAACUUUAAAAUAGCAACAGUGAAAUAAACACACCAGUUACACAGGGUGGCCAGGGGUUGUGCUGCAAACAGCAAUUUAUUAAAGAAAAUAAAACCUUGGUGACAGCUUUAAAAUCCUCAUCAAAACAUUUUUUGUCUAAAAGCAGUAUUUUUACAGUUCCUAUUCCCUGGCUAAAAAUGUGCUGCUUCUUCUUAAAUAGCCCUUUCAGAAACCCAGAUCCAGCCCAGGAGACGAGCUAGUGACAUCAUCCUGCUCUACAAAAAAUGAAUUGUUCAGCAUCCAGGAAAAUGAAAUGAAGAUUGCGUUCCCCAAAGGCAAGGAGACUGGAUUGAACUUGGAAUCCCUGUAGAAGAAAGAGAUGUUAAGGGAAAGUCCCCAUCCCUGUCUAUCUCGAGGUCAAGCACCUACACAACAUCAGAGACUCCCCUGUGCUGAGAAGGAAGGUUUCUUAGCAUGACUCCAAGUGGUGCUGCACCAGACCUCUCAUUGCUGCAACCGCUGGCCCCUGUCCACCCCUACUCAUCUAGACAACCACGUGGAGUCCACUGAUGCUUUGCCAUAUGUCAAACUCAGCCAACCUUCGACACACCUGCAUGAAAGUCUACAGCUUUUGGAGCAAAAGCCUAUCUGGCCCCUAGGCCUUAGCCUUAAAGCCCAUGGUUAAGGUGUGAACAAUAAUAAUAUGGAGUCUUUCAUCACAUUGCUGUUAUUUUUAUAAUAUACUUGGAAGUCAAAGUUAAUGUUUCAGGGGUAACUUAAGGGAAAAAAAUUGUUCA